rnacentral:tRNA from 1 species
GGCUUUAUAGUCAAUAAUGAUAUUAGAGUGCAAUUCUAAAGGAAUAAUUAAAAUUAUUAAGGCUU